rnacentral:rRNA from 1 species
GGAGUACGAUCGCAAGAUUGAUACUCAAAGGAAUUGACGGGGACCCGCACAAGCGGUGGAGCAUGUGGUUUAAUUCGAAGCAACGCGAAGAACCUUACCAAAUCUUGACAUCCUUUGAUCGCUCUAGAGAUAGAGUUUUCCCCUUCGGGGGACAAAGUGACAGGUGGUGCAUGGUUGUCGUCAGCUCGUGUCGUGAGAUGUUGGGUUAAGUCCCGCAACGAGCGCAACCCUUAAGCUUAGUUGCCAUCAUUAAGUUGGGCACUCUAAGUUGACUGCCGGUGACAAACCGGAGGAAGGUGGGGAUGACGUCAAAUCAUCAUGCCCCUUAUGAUUUGGGCUACACACGUGCUACAAUGGACGGUACAAAGGGUCGCUAAACCGCGAGGUCAAGCAAAUCCCAUAAAGCCGUUCUCAGUUCGGAUUGUAGUCUGCAACACGACUACAUGAAGCUGGAAUCGCUAGUAAUCGUAGAUCAGCAUGCUACGGUGAAUACGUUCGCGGGUCUUGCACACACCGCCU